rnacentral:rRNA from 1 species
CCUACGGGUGGCAGCAGUGAGGAAUAUUGGUCAAUGGGCGCGAGCCUGAACCAGCCAAGUAGCGUGAAGGAUGACUGCCCUACGGGUUGUAAAGAUCUGUUGACAGGGACGAAUAAGCAAUGCGAAUAGUUUUGUGUAUGACGGUACCUGUUUAGAAAGCUCCGGCUAACUACGUGCCAGCAGCCGCGGUAAUACGUAGGGAGCAAGCGUUGUCCGGAAUUACUGGGCGUAAAGGGCGCGUAGGUGGGCGCUUAAGUCAGGUGUGAAAACUCCGGGCUCAACCUGGAGACUGCACUUGAAACUGGGUGUCUUGAGGGCAGGAGAGGAAAGUGGAAUUCCUAGUGUAGCGGUGAAAUGCGUAGAUAUUAGGAGGAACACCAGUGGCGAAGGCGACUUUCUGGACUGUACCUGACGCUGAGGCGCGAAAGCGUGGGUAGCGAACGGGAUUAGAUACCCCUGUAGUC